rnacentral:lncRNA from 1 species
UAGGUCUGAUGGGGGGACUCCGGCUCGGAGCUGGGCCCCGAGGCCGCCAGGGAGGGGACUGCGGGCGACGCCGGGAUUUUGCUUUGGGUAACUGGGUAGAUGGGGGCGCCAUUAUCGCGCUUCUCUUGUAGGGCGCCGGUGAAGGUUAUACGAGAAACUCCAUCUGUCCUUAUUGAAAGUGCUCUAACGCAGGAACCAGCCGUCUUGCUGACGCCUGGGCCACCGGGCACAGGGACAGGACGGGGUUGCUGGACGUGCAAGCUGGGAGAAAGCAGAGAACUGACUCCGUGCAGAGUUGGGAUUAAGAGCCCCUAGACAAAGGGCCGAGGCAGUGAAGGAUGUUCAUCACUCAUCUACCACUAUCCUCCUCACAUUUAAUCCUCACAACACCCCUGUGAGGUUUAUCCGCUUCACCUGUUGCCGGGGAACACUGCUCUCUGGGGGACGACACUGUAAACAUGACUUCCUGGCCUGAUGGUGGCAGGGCUUUGUGUGCGAGUCACUGUCCAGGGACAGUACUGAGGUAGACCACGGUGACGUCGAGGAUGCCGCUGGGGGCUGUCACUGCAGGAAGGUUGGUGGGGAGGGAGGUCAUGUCACACCCAAGCAUCAGGGGAGACCCCCUGCCAGGUCAGGACCCUGAAGUCCAGGUCAAGAAUCUUCUACCUUGCUAUAGUCCCCUGUGUUACCCUCCUGUGGUGAGAAGCGUGGGUGACAUGCCUCUUCCAAGUUGGACAGCUGCCCGCCAUGACUCCAACAACGGUGGAGAUGACAAGUUGGCCAUCUAGCUCAAGCCAAGUGGACGCAGAAGCAAGCAACCGGGAAAUUGACAGGACUCACACUAACUGGGCUUCUGG